UACGUGGGGUGCGAGCGUUAAUCGGAAUUACUGGGCGUAAAGGGUGCGCAGGCGGUCUCGUAAGCUGGGUGUGAAAGCCCCGGGCUUAACCUGGGAAUGGCAGUGGAAACUAGAGAACUUGAAUCUGGCAGAGGGGGGUGGAAUGCCACGUGUAGCAGUGAAAUGCGUAGAUAUGUGGCGGAACACCGAUGGCGAAGGCAGCCCCCUGGGCUGAGAUUGACGCUCAGGCACGAAAGCGUGGGGAGCAAACAGG
rnacentral:rRNA from 1 species